rnacentral:tRNA from 1 species
GUCUGUAUAGAUUAUUGUAAUAAAUCGUGAUGCUGUUAACUUCAAGAAGAAAUGUUUCUGCAGUCG